CGGCGUGCCUAAUACAUGCAAGUCGAACGAACCGCGACCGAGUGCUUGCACUUGGUCAAGGUGAGUGGCGAACGGGUGAGUAACACGUGGGUAACCUACCUCAUAGUGGGGGAUAACAGUCGGAAACGACUGCUAAUACCGCAUAGGACAUGGGAUCACAUGAUUCCGUGAGGAAAGGUGGCGCAAGCUAUCGCUAAGAGAUGGACCCGCGGUGCAUUAGCUAGUUGGUAGGGUAAGGGCCUACCAAGGCGAUGAUGCAUAGCCGACCUGAGAGGGUGAUCGGCCACAUUGGGACUGAGACACGGCCCAAACUCCUACGGGAGGCAGCAGUAGGGAAUCUUCCGCAAUGGACGCAAGUCUGACGGAGCAACGCCGCGUGAGUGAAGAAGGUCUUCGGAUCGUAAAGCUCUGUUGUUAGAGAAGAACAGCGCAUAGAGUAACUGUUAUGCGUGUGACGGUAUCUAACCAGAAAGCCACGGCUAACUACGUG
rnacentral:rRNA from 1 species